AUUGAACGCUGGCGGCAGGCCUAACACAUGCAAGUCGAACGAGUGGCGGACGGGUGAGUAAUGUCUGGGAAACUGCCCGAUGGAGGGGGAUAACUACUGGAAAAGGUAGCUAAUACCGCAUACCAACGGAUGUGCCCAGAUGGGAUUAGCUAGUAGGUGGGGUAACGGCUCAACUAGGCGACGAUCCCUAGCUGGUCUGAGAGGGUGAACAUCCCCACUGGACAGGAGACACGGUCCAGACUCCUACGGUAGGCAGCAGUGGGGACUAUUUCCCAAUGGGCGCAAGCCUGAUGCAGCCAUGCCGCGUGUAUGAAGAAGGCCUUCGGGUUGUAAAGUACUUUCGGCGAGGAGGCGUUACUCGCACAAGAAGCACCGGCUAACUCCGUGCCAGCAGCCGCGGUAAUAC
rnacentral:rRNA from 1 species